AAUGUUGUUUUUCACAUCUUUACAAAAUAGAAAAUACUUAUAUUUAUAUGAAAUGUUACAGUUAAAUGUCCAACAUUGCAUAAGUCAAACCUAAUUUAAAUUUUAUGGGAUUGUGUAUAAUUGUAUGUCAUAAACUUAGGUAGUUCUGCAGACACAUGAAAUUAAUUACACAAGUAAUUGAAGCGAUUGUAGUAAAUCCACAUCAACUUCCCUAUAGAUUAUAGCAGCUGCAAAUAACUCACUCUGUUGCAUGGAAAGUUAGAGAUUCAUUAGAACUGUUACAGUAAUUCCUGCUGAUUUAGACUAUAGCAGCUGCAAAUAACUAGCUCUAUUGCAUGAAAAGCUAGAGAUCCAUUAAAAA